rnacentral:snoRNA from 1 species
AGGUUUUAAUGAUGAUUUAUCUUCUUACCUACAUUGUCUGAAAAUUGUGAUUAUUAUGUGUAGUCUGAAAAAUCU